rnacentral:lncRNA from 1 species
UUUUUCAAAAGCAGCACACGCAACAUAAAAGCGAAGGUAUAAUAGGAGCAUUUUCAUCUCUUGUUGUGAAAAGGAUGUCCUGCCUAAAGAUAGAAAUGGACAAGUAUCAUAUAUUAUUGACACCACUUAUGUUGCUUAGAAAACAGAACAUAGAGAAAGAAAAUGGGGGAUAAAAUCGCUUCCACCAAUUCCAAGCUAAGAUAAACCUGAAUGGACAAGCACAUAUAUUAAGAAAGGAUAUAAUGUAAAGUAUAGAAUCACGUUGUAAGCCAAUUCCCAUAAGGCUAUGAUGGGAAGGAGGUCGGGAGGACGGCGCCGCAUGACAAGCCCUAUCCAUGCCGAACGACCUCAUGAUAUACAGCCUCCGUCGCUCACUAUUCAAUGCCCAUCGAAAAAUCAGGAUUGUAGUAGACAUGUCUUAGGUAAGAUACAUAUGUGUAAAUGUAAAGUUUUACUAAUCAAGCAUGCACUUAAUGAAAGUACCUAUUAUACAUAAAAGGAAAGUAACUGAGAUAGAUGCUGGGUUUUUUUCUUAGAAGGAAGUUGGUCAUCAAAUAGGCAUAGAUAAUCAAAUUUGGAAUAUCUCCAGGAACAUCUAAUUUUUGAAACUCAUGGCAAUAUGUAGUACACGUGUGUUAGGUCAGACAGAAGGUAUGCACAAAUGUAGAGAUUUAGUAAUGAAGCAUCCAGUGAACAAAAGAAACAAUUAUACAUGAAAAGAAACUAUGUGGGAUAUGCAUGUUUCAGUGUCACGUAACUUAUGUUACAGAACAAAACCAAGCUAGUAAGCAAUCCAUUGUGAAAUCUUCAUGUGGUAAAGAACAUUUGUAGAUUAACAUGAAAUAAAUAUUAUUGUCUGAGCACAGGCAAUCAUGCUGAUACAUUUAGUGAUUUAUUUAAGUAGUAAUAAUCAGUCUAUAUUGAUGUUCAAUUAGUGGGUAAGAGGUAUUGAGUAGAAUCGAUUUGUUUAACGCAUGACAUGAAUGAAUUAUGCAGCUACCUGGGGGCUUAAGCCAUUGCAUUGACAGAGGCAAUAGGUAGAAACAGAGAAAUAGUUGAAUUUUAAGUAACAAAUUUAGAGGCGUUGAGAGCAGAGAAGGAGACAGUCACCUUGUCAGAUCCAUGAGGAUGAAUUGAGGGAAAGGGGACAGGAGCAGCACGCGGUAGAUCCACUUUCAGGCUAGCUACCUCGUCACAGAUACUUCUAGAUAUGCAUUGUAAUAGUCAGACCACACAACAUGUAAUACUAAUGGCCUAAUGCCAUAGCCUGCAGCAGUCCAAAAUUGAACACAUUGGUAUAUAAUGGAUGGUAUUUGUGCAAAUCUAGAACAAUAAUUUACCUUUCACAACAAACAAAUCUCAAGAGCGUAUUAUUUCUUUAUUUCUCAAUAAUUCACAAUAAAUGAUCAAGCAUCUAUAUGCAUGUACCAAAGCAUUUACCUUUGUAAGAGCUUUCCAACUUUGCCUUCUGAGUUGUACCGGCUCUUCCAUGGUUAAAACUCCAUACCACCUUCGCCGCCACCAACGAUGACCGAUCCCAAUCAUUGAGCCGAGCCCGGAGGACGACAAAGGGACCGCCAUCUCCCUAAAGCGACGGGUUGCCCUAAGAUGGUUGAGACCAAGUCGAUGGCACACGCUAGUGAAACCUAGCCCAUCUUAAAACUUUGAACCUAGCCCGUCUUCAAAC